rnacentral:rRNA from 1 species
UGGGGAAUCUUGGACAAUGGGGGAAACCCUGAUCCAGCCAUGCCGCGUGAGUGAAGAAGGCCUUCGGGUUGUAAAGCUCUUUUGCCAGGGACGAUAAUGACGGUACCUGGAGAAUAAGCCCCGGCAAACUUCGUGCCAGCAGCCGCGGUAAUACGAAGGGGGCUAGCGUUGUUCGGAAUUACUGGGCGUAAAGCGCACGUAGGCGGAUUGUUAAGUCGGGGGUGAAAUCCCGGGGCCCAACCCCGGAACGGCCUUCGAUACUGGCGAUCUCGAGUCCGGAAGAGGUGAGUGGAAUUCCCAGUGUAGAGGUGAAAUUCGUAGAUAUUGGGAAGAACACCAGUGGCGAAGGCGGCUCACUGGUCCGGUACUGACGCUGAGGUGCGAAAGCGUGGGGAGCAAACAGG